GAUGAACGCUGGCGGCGUGCCUAAUACAUGCAAGUCGAGCGAACAGAUAAGGAGCUUGCUCCCUUGACGUUAGCGGCGGACGGGUGAGUGACACGUGGGUAACCUACCUAUAAGACUGGAAUAACUCCGGGAAACCGGGGCUAAUGCCGGAUAACAUUUAGAACCGCAUGGUUCUAAAGUGAAAGAUGGUUUUGCUAUCACUUAUAGAUGGACCCGCGCCGUAUUAGCUAGUUGGUAAGGUAACGGCUUACCAAGGCAACGAUACGUAGCCGACCUGAGAGGGUGAUCGGCCACACUGGAACUGAGACACGGUCCAGACUCCUACGGGAGGCAGCAGUAGGGAAUCUUCCGCAAUGGGCGAAAACCUGACGGAGCAACGCCGCGUGAGUGAUGAAGGUCUUCGGAUCGUAAAACUCUGUUAUUAGGGAAGAACAAAUGUGUAAGUAACUGUGCACGUCUUGACGGUACCUAAUCAGAAAGCCACGGCUAACUACGUG
rnacentral:rRNA from 1 species